rnacentral:rRNA from 1 species
AGUGAACGCUGGCGGUAUGCCUAACACAUGCAAGUCGAACGGCAGCACAAUAAGAUCUUGCUCUUACCGUUGGCGAGUGGCGGACGGGUGAGGAAUACAUCAGAAUCUUCUAUUUCGGGGGGGACUACGUAGGGCAGCUGCUACUAAUACCUCAUACAACCUACGGCUGAAUGCAGUGGAUCUUCGCACUUUUCGUGACACAUUUAGCCGGUGCCGCAUUAGCUAGUUGGUGAGGUAACGGCCUACCAAGGCGACGAUGCGUAGCCGAUCUGAGAGGAUGAUCGGCCACACUGGAACUGAGACACGGUCCAGACUCCUACGGGAGGCAGCAGUGGGGAAUCUUCCGCAAUGGGCGAAAGCCUGACGCAGCAACACCGCGUGAGUGAUGAAGGUCUUCGGGUCGUAAAACCCUGUUGUUAGGAAAGAAAAAAAGCAGAAGAAACCACCCACGUUCUGACGGUACCCAAAGAGAAAGCAACGGCUAACUACGUG